rnacentral:rRNA from 1 species
GACAGAGGCCUCAAGCGUUAGGCGGAAUCACUGGGCUUAAAGCGUGUGUAGGCGGAUCGUUAAGUACCUUGUGAAAUCCCACGGCUCACCCGUGGAACUGCUGGGUAUACUGGCGGUCUUGGGCCAACUAGGGGCAGCUGGAACAAGCGGUGGAGCGGUGAAAUGCGUAGAGAUCGGAAAGAACACCACCGGCGAAAGCACUCUGCUGGGCCGACACUGACACUGAGAGACGAAAGCUAGGGGAGCGAAUGGG